rnacentral:rRNA from 1 species
UUAAGCGACUAAGCGUACACGGUGGAUGCCCUGGCAGUCAGAGGCGAUGAAGGACGUGCUAAUCUGCGAAAAGCGUCGGUAAGGUGAUAUGAACCGUUAUAACCGGCGAUGUCCGAAUGGGGAAACCCAGUGCAAUUCGUUGCACUAUCGUUAACUGAAUACAUAGGUUAACGAGGCGAACCGGGGGAACUGAAACAUCUAAGUACCCCGAGGAAAAGAAAUCAACCGAGAUUCCCCCAGUAGCGGCGAGCGAACGGGGAGCAGCCCAGAGUCUGAAUCAGCUUGUGUGUUAGUGGAACGGUCUGGAAAGUCCGACGGUACAGGGUGAUAGUCCCGUACACCAAAAUGCACAGGCUGUGAACUCGAAGAGUAGGGCGGGACACGUGGUAUCCUGUCUGAAUAUGGGGGGACCAUCCUCCAAGGCUAAAUACUCCUGACUGACCGAUAGUGAACCAGUACCGUGAGGGAAAGGCGAAAAGAACCCCGGCGAGGGGAGUGAAAAAGAACCUGAAACCGUGUACGUACAAGCAGUGGGAGCACCUUCGGGUGUGACUGCGUACCUUUUGUAUAAUGGGUCAGCGACUUAUAUUCUGUAGCAAGGUUAACCGUAUAGGGGAGCCGCAGGGAAACCGAGUCUUAACUGGGCGUUAAGUUGCAGGGUAUAGACCCGAAACCCGGUGAUCUAGCCAUGGGCAGGUUGAAGGUUGGGUAACACUAACUGGAGGACCGAACCGACUAAUGUUGAAAAAUUAGCGGAUGACUUGUGGCUGGGGGUGAAAGGCCAAUCAAACCGGGAGAUAGCUGGUUCUCCCCGAAAGCUAUUUAGGUAGCGCCUCGUGAAUUCAUCUUCGGGGGUAGAGCACUGUUUCGGCUAGGGGGUCAUCCCGACUUACCAACCCGAUGCAAACUACGAAUACCGAAGAAUGUUAUCACGGGAGACACACGGCGGGUGCUAACGUCCGUCGUGAAGAGGGAAACAACCCAGACCGCCAGCUAAGGUCCCAAAGUCAUGGUUAAGUGGGAAACGAUGUGGGAAGGCACAGACAGCCAGGAUGUUGGCUUAGAAGCAGCCAUCAUUUAAAGAAAGCGUAAUAGCUCACUGGUCGAGUCGGCCUGCGCGGAAGAUGUAACGGGGCUAAACCAUGCACCGAAGCUGCGGCAGCGACACUAUGUGUUGUUGGGUAGGGGAGCGUUCUGUAAGCCUGCGAAGGUGACCUGUGAGGGUUGCUGGAGGUAUCAGAAGUGCGAAUGCUGACAUAAGUAACGAUAAAGCGGGUGAAAAGCCCGCUCGCCGGAAGACCAAGGGUUCCUGUCCAACGUUAAUCGGGGCAGGGUGAGUCGACCCCUAAGGCGAGGCCGAAAGGCGUAGUCGAUGGGAAACAGGUUAAUAUUCCUGUACUUGGUGUUACUGCGAAGGGGGGACGGAGAAGGCUAUGUUAGCCGGGCGACGGUUGUCCCGGUUUAAGCAUGUAGGCUGGUUAUCCAGGCAAAUCCGGAUAAUCAAGGCUGAGGUGUGAUGACGAGGCACUACGGUGCUGAAGUAACAAAUGCCCUGCUUCCAGGAAAAGCCUCUAAGCAUCAGGUAACAUCAAAUCGUACCCCAAACCGACACAGGUGGUCAGGUAGAGAAUACCAAGGCGCUUGAGAGAACUCGGGUGAAGGAACUAGGCAAAAUGGUGCCGUAACUUCGGGAGAAGGCACGCUGGUGUGUAGGUGAAGUCCCUGCGGAUGGAGCUGAGACCAGUCGAAGAUACCAGCUGGCUGCAACUGUUUAUUAAAAACACAGCACUGUGCAAACACGAAAGUGGACGUAUACGGUGUGACGCCUGCCCGGUGCCGGAAGGUUAAUUGAUGGGGUUAUCCGUAAGGAGAAGCUCUUGAUCGAAGCCCCGGUAAACGGCGGCCGUAACUAUAACGGUCCUAAGGUAGCGAAAUUCCUUGUCGGGUAAGUUCCGACCUGCACGAAUGGCGUAAUGAUGGCCAGGCUGUCUCCACCCGAGACUCAGUGAAAUUGAACUCGCUGUGAAGAUGCAGUGUACCCGCGGCAAGACGGAAAGACCCCGUGAACCUUUACUAUAGCUUGACACUGAACAUUGAGCCUUGAUGUGUAGGAUAGGUGGGAGGCUUUGAAGCGUGGACGCCAGUCUGCGUGGAGCCAACCUUGAAAUACCACCCUUUAAUGUUUGAUGUUCUAACGUUGGCCCCUGACCGGGGUUGCGGACAGUGUCUGGUGGGUAGUUUGACUGGGGCGGUCUCCUCCCAAAGCGUAACGGAGGAGCACGAAGGUUAGCUAAUCCUGGUCGGACAUCAGGAGGUUAGUGCAAUGGCAUAAGCUAGCUUGACUGCGAGCGUGACGGCGCGAGCAGGUGCGAAAGCAGGUCAUAGUGAUCCGGUGGUUCUGAAUGGAAGGGCCAUCGCUCAACGGAUAAAAGGUACUCCGGGGAUAACAGGCUGAUACCGCCCAAGAGUUCAUAUCGACGGCGGUGUUUGGCACCUCGAUGUCGGCUCAUCACAUCCUGGGGCUGAAGUAGGUCCCAAGGGUAUGGCUGUUCGCCAUUUAAAGUGGUACGCGAGCUGGGUUUAGAACGUCGUGAGACAGUUCGGUCCCUAUCUGCCGUGGGCGCUGGAGAAUUGAGGGGGGCUGCUCCUAGUACGAGAGGACCGGAGUGGACGCAUCACUGGUGUUCGGGUUGUCAUGCCAAUGGCACUGCCCGGUAGCUAAAUGCGGAAGAGAUAAGUGCUGAAAGCAUCUAAGCACGAAACUUGCCCCGAGAUGAGUUCUCCCUGAGACUUUAAGUCUCCUGAAGGAACGUUAAAGACGAUGACGUUGAUAGGCCGGGUGUGUAAGCGCAGCGAUGCGUUGAGCUAACCGGUACUAAUGAACCGUGAGGCUUAACCUU